AAAAUAAUUUUUUAUUUAGAA
rnacentral:tRNA from 1 species